GGAUUAUAGCUCAGUGGUAGAGCAUGCGACUGCAGAUCGUAAGGUCGUGAGUUCGAACCUCACUGGUC
rnacentral:ncRNA from 12 species